AUUGAACGCUGGCGGAAUGCUUUACACAUGCAAGUCGAGCGGCAGCGCGGGGGCAACCCUGGCGGCGAGCGGCGAACGGGUGAGUAACACAUCGGAACGUACCCAGUUGUGGGGGAUAGCCCGGCGAAAGCCGGAUUAAUACCGCAUACGACCUGAGGGUGAAAGGGGGGGAUCGCAAGACCUCUCGCAGUUGGAGCGGCCGAUGGCGGAUUAGCUAGUCGGUGAGGUAACGGCUCACCAAGGCUACGACGGGUAGCUGGUCUGAGAGGAUGAUCAGCCACACUGGGACUGAGAUACGGCCCAGACUCCUACGGGAGGCAGCAGUGGGGAAUUUUGCGCAAUGGGCGAAAGCCUGACGCAGCAACGCCGCGUGAGCGAAGAAGGCCUUCGGGUUGUAAAGCUCUGUCAGGGGGAAAGAAGGCACCUGGGUUAAUAGCCCAAGGGCUGACGGUACCCCCAAAGGAAGCCACGGCUAACUACGUGCCAGCCGCCGCCGUAAAAC
rnacentral:rRNA from 1 species